rnacentral:misc_RNA from 1 species
GCCGUGGUGUUAGAGGUAUUCACUCGGAGAUUUCUGAAAGCUUGGUUGUAACUUGUUGUGGAAGUAGAGUACGUCUAUAGUUUUGGUUGUGGUAACGUCGAUGGUACAUGGCUGUGGUAUUUAUGUGUAGUGAUUAGUUAUGACUGAGAUUAUUGUAAAGUUCUUCAAAUAUCUUAAGUUUAGAGCGUAGUUUGUCUACUUUCCCCUUUUACGUAGAGUUUGACUGAGUAGCAUGAGCUGCUGUCGCUCGAUUUAGGUGACAGUGGCGACUCUUGAUUACGGUUAUCGUCACUCGAUGGAGGUGGCAAGGUUAUCGUCACUCGCUGAGUGGCAUGAGCUGCUGUCGCUCGAUUUAGGUGACAGUGGCGACUUUCUUCUUAGUCGUUCACUCUUGACAGAGUGGUCAUGGUUGACGACGAUUCAUUGGCUAAAGUAGCUCCCGCU